rnacentral:rRNA from 1 species
GACGAAGGGUGCAAGCGUUAUCCGGAUUCAUUGGGUUUAAAGGGAGCGUAGGUGGCCUUAUAAGUCAGUGGUGAAAUCUCUCGGCUUAACCGAGAAAUUGCCAUUGAUACUGUAGGGCUUGAGUAUAGUUGCCGUUGGUGGAAUAUGACAUGUAGUGGUGAAAUACAUAGAGAUGUCAUAGAACACCGAUUGCGAAGGCAGCUGCCUAAACUAUAACUGACACUGAGGCUCGAAAGUGUGGGGAUCAAACAGG